CCUGGGUGCUGGAGCUCAGAGGCUCCCUCUGCUAUGCCUAGGAUGGGCUCAUGGGGUCUACACAGUGGCCAGGCUCCCGUCUCCUUGGGGGCCAGGGAGCAGCAGGGGCCCCCGGAGGGAGCCAGCAGAGCUCUAGGCAGUGAAAAUAGAUGUGUGUUCAGACGCUGCCUCUCUCAGUGGAGGGCUGAGCCUGCAGACAUUAUCUCACUCCUGCUCAAUGUCCCUCCAGGCAGGUAAGGGAUGGGACUUGUUCCUGCUUUAUAGCUGGGGAGCCCAAGCGGAGAGGACGGGAAGGCAGAGAGAGGAGGCCCCGGCACAGCCUAGCCUGGGCAAAGGCCCCUGCCGGCCCAUCUUCCUGCCCCCCAAGCCGUCCUGGAUCUUUCAUAUUGAAGAGUUCCCUUGGGACACUUGAGUACCUGGAAUCUGGAAUGUGGAAUUGCAGGUGGAGAGAUUUGGCACUAGCACCCCACGACUAUCCAUGGAAUACCCCAAGCUACAGAAUUGUCUGCCACAGUUUGUGAGGGUUAGGAGACACAGACUAUCCCCCUCCUCCAGAAAGUCUCCCAGGAUUGUGCUCAGUUGAUGAAUAGAGGGUGGUACCUUCCACCCCCACCAUCCUCUAUGACCACUCACUGUCUGCUUGGUUUUUGUUCUUUCCCUGGAGGCAUGUACUGCCAACCUGGAGAGGUUGGGGGUGGGGGCACCGAAGCUUGGCCCAGCCUGACCCAUGUUCUUUUAGGAGUCCUGGGAGCUGCUCCCACUCCUUCAAUUGAUCCAUGCUUACUGAGCUGCCAUGUACCUACAAACCAGAAAGAACAAACACCUCAUAGAAAAAUGGGCAGAGUCUAUGGACAGGCAAUUCCCUGACCUGGCCUUGCCACUUAUUUGCUGUGUAAAUUUGGGCAAGUAACUUAACUAUUCUGUGCCUGCCUUUAAAGGGGCGAUUAAGGUAAAAUGAGACCAUUUAAGGUAGGACCCUAAUCUAAUCUGACUGGUAGCCUUAGAAAAAGAAGAAGAGACAAAAAGAUGGGCACACAGAGAGAAGAUCAUGUGAAGCGAUAAGAAGAAGAUGGCUAUCUGCUAGCCAAUGAGAGAGGUUUCAGAAAGAACUAACCCCGUGGGCACCCUGAUCUUGGACUCCCGGCCUCCAGAACUCUGAGAAAAUAAAUUUCUGUUGUUUAAUCCA